GCCCCCGUAGCUCAGAGGAUAGAGCACUGGCCUCCGAAGCCAGUUGCACAGGUUCGAGUCCUGUCGGGGGUA
rnacentral:tRNA from 1 species